GAUGAACGCUGACAGAAUGCUUAACACAUGCAAGUCUUUGGCGAAGCUGUGCUUGCACAGCCUAGCCAAGGCGGACGGGUGAGUAACGCGUAAGGAACUUGCCCUGCAGUCAGGGAUAACAGACGGAAACGACUGAUAAGACCUGGUAAAGUCAGGCGGACUCAUGUCCAGCCUGAUGAAAAGAGAUGCUGCAGGAGAGCCUUGCGUCCUAUUAGCUUGUUGGUGGGGUAACGGCCCACCAAGGCGAUGAUAGGUAGCCGGCCUGAGAGGGUGGACGGCCACAAGGGGACUGAGAUACGGCCCUUACUCCUACGGGAGGCAGCAGUGGGGAAUAUUGGAAAAUGGGGGCAACCCUGAUCCAGCAAUUCUGUGUGCACGAUGAAGGUUUUCGGAUUGUAAAGUGCUUUCAGCAGGGAAGAAAAAAAUGACGGUACCUGCAGAAGAAGCGACGGCUAAAUACGUG
rnacentral:rRNA from 1 species